GUACUGAUGAAGAGUCCCAAACUAGGAUGAAACAUGUGUCCAAUAC
rfam:Trichobilharzia regenti genome assembly, scaffold: TRE_contig0022281